AGGUUCCCCUGCUACGUCACUCACAGAGGGAGUGGGAGACACAGCUGGCUAAUGUCAAGUGACUCGCCGUCUCUUCUUACCCAAACUCUAACCAAAAUGCGGUGCGAAUAUGGCUGAGUGAUCGCUGUUGUGUCGUAGAAGUGAUAAUUUUUUGUUUAGUGAAGCGUCUUGAACCAUCCGAGAUCCAAGAUGGAUAUGCUGGAUGGGGAGACGGUGUAUAACUCUCACGACGACUCGCAUAUCGUCAUGUCGGAGAAAGUGCAAUCCUUAGCAGGGAGUAUCUAUCAGGAGUUUGAGCGCAUGAUAGCGCGAUACGACGAGGAUGUAGUCAAGGAUUUAAUGCCCUUAGUGGUGAACAUAUUGGAGUGCCUGGACCUGGCCUACACCGAGAACCAGGAGCAUGAGGUUGAGGUGGAACUGCUGCGAGAGGACAACGAGCAGCUGGUGACGCAAUAUGAGCGGGAGAAGCAGCUCAGGAAAGCUUCCGAGCAGAAACUACUGGAGCUGGAGGAUGGCAUGGAAGAGGAGAAGAAGCAGUGCCAGUCCCGCGUGGAGACACUCGAGUCCAUUGUGCGCAUGUUUGAGCUCAAAAACAGAAAUGCUACCGACCAUGCGAAUCGGAUGGAAGAUAAGUCGGAAGAAAUGAAAAAGGAAUAUACAAAACUCCACGAUCGCUACACUGAGCUAUUCAAGACUCACAUGGACUACAUGGAGCGCACCAAAAUACUCAUGGGCACUGACCGACUUGACCAGCUGGGAACCUCCAGAGGCAGGAUCUCUGGGUUUACUUUAGGCAAUCUCAACAGUAUUCCUUUCAGGUCAUCGGGGCCGGUUUCCUUUGGCUUCAGCUCGCUAGAUCCUAAUAAAUCUAUAACUUCUCCGGUGGACAUGAGCGGGUCGGCGAAUGGCACCGUACAAAUCACAUCCCUCAGAAAUGAAUUGCAGGAGGCACAAGUUGGUCCCGACACACCAGUCGUACACACAGACAAAGGUCAGCUGACGGACACAAUUGAACAGGCUGAUCGGGAGACGGCCACAAAAGGGGGCUGGGUGGAUGGAUUCACUCCAGAAUCAGAAGAUAUGUCCUCUCCGGAAAUGGAGGACCUCGAGGACAUAUCUAUGGAUACCAGCAUUGGUCCUGAGGGUAGACCGCCCGGCAGAAUUAAGUCAACCACUACGAAACAUAAAGAAGAGCGAACAGGAAACACACUUUACCAAGAACUACAGUUCCAGGAACCUGAUGCCUUGGCUGAAAUGGAUGAAGGAGCAGAUAUCACAGACAGUGGGAGUGAGGAAGGUGGGAACUCUCCCACGUACUCGGUCACAGACAACUUCUUUGGAAUGGGUAAAGAAGUGGAAAACCUUAUCAUGGAGAAUAAUGAGCUGUUAGCUACAAAGAAUGCCCUAAACAUUGUGAAAGAUGACCUUAUUGCCAAAGUAGAUGAACUAACAAGUGAGCAGGAGAUCUUACGAGAAGAGAUCAAGUCUCUGAACGCUGUGAAAUCCAGAUUAAAAUUACGGAUUACCGAGUUGGAGGAUGAGGUGAAGAAGAUCAAGGAGGAAGCUGAGAAGAAUGCCAAAGCUAACAAGUCUGAUGAUGAGGAGGACGUUCCAAUGGCUCAGCGUAAACGGUUCACAAGAGUUGAGAUGGCACGUGUUCUUAUGGAACGUAAUCAAUACAAGGAACGGUUCAUGGAGCUGCAAGAAGCUGUACGCUGGACUGAAAUGAUCAGAGCCUCAAGAAAUGAUCCAAAUGUAGAUAAAAAGAACAAACAGACUAUAUGGAAAUUCUUUAGUAACCUGUUUAGUACAUCAGAAAAGCCACAGAGAAAGCCUCUUCCUUACGGUAACGUGCGCUACAGUGCCCCUGCCCAUCAGGUCACACCGGCGCUGGACACGAUGCGCAGGAAAAACCUGUCAGACCACAGACGCAAAGGUCUUGAGAUCUUCGAUACAGGAUUUGACAGUUCCGAAGAUGUGAGUCGGGAACCAUCCCCCCUCACAUUCCUCUCCCCCACCAUCAGUUCCUCAGAGAAGCUGCAACAACGGCGGGCCACUGAAAGAAGAGAACAAUACAAACAGGUCCGUGCACAUGUAAAGAAGGAUGAUGGUCGAAUGCAGGCAUAUGGGUGGAGUCUGCCUGCUAAGACAGGUCAAAAAGCCAUUGAGGGUCCCCAGGCCCAACCCAAGAGCUCUUCUUCCACACAUGUGCCUGUUCCUGUACCUGUAUACUGUCGUCCACUUAUGGAGAAAGAGCCAGGAAUGAAGAUUUGGUGUGCUGCUGGUGUGAACUUAACUGGAGGAAGAACCAAAGAUGGUGGGAAUAUCGUAGGCGCCAGUGUCUUCUACUCUGGCGACACGGAGACGACAAUAAUUAAACCAGAAGAUGAAAUUGACAAAUUAGACAUGGAACUUAAGGAACAUGAAAAAGAUAGAAAAGAGGGUGAGCUCCUGGAACAAACUCUCUCAUCCCUGGUCUGGAUAUGUACGUCGACCCACUCAAUUAGUAAAGUUACUGUCAUUGAUGCCAACAAUCCAGCAGACAUCCUUGAAUCAUUCCAUGUUUGCUCCUCACAUCUCCUCUGCAUAGCUAGCGUUCCAGGUGCCAAAGAGUCUGAUUACUCUAUUGAUGAAGAUUUGAAUAAAUUAGUCGAAGAGUCACAGCUAAAUAAUUGUGAUAACCCAGAUGAUGCUAGUGCCAAUGAUAAUAAGAGUAAAGAAGAGAGUGGACCAUCCAUGGGCACUCUUUCAUUCAUAAGUUGCGCUGCCGGCAGCGAAACGGGGACACCCGAUUCACCCACCGAGAAGGAGCCCGAAGAAAUUAAACCUGUUCUACGCAAAGAAACAAUCACCUGUACAGAUCCAGACCAAGAUGCGGACAGGGCAGAAGUAAUUGAAAAUUCAGAAGAGGAAGAAGUACCACCGCGAAGAUUACUUAAGGAGCCGGAGGGUAUUGUUAAAGAUGGAGUGGAAGAAGUACAACCUUCUGAAGACUCAAGUGUAGUAGCAGAGGAGGUUGAAAAGAUGUCAUCUGUCCUGUCAACCAUGUGGCUUGGCUCGCAGAGUGGCUCUAUAUAUGUUCAUUCAGCAGUCCGCCACUGGAAGCGUUGCCUACACUCGAUCAAGCUCAAGGACUCUGUGUUGUCCAUUGUACACAUCAAGGGUCGAGUUCUAGCAGCUCUUGCAGAUGGGACUGUGGCCAUAUUUCAUCGGCAAGGGGACGGGCAGUGGGAUUUAACGAAUUAUCAUCUCUUAGACUUAGGCAAACCUCAUCACUCCAUCCGGUGCAUGCAUGUUGUGCACAACAAAGUUUGGUGUGGAUACCGCAACAAAAUUCAUGUAGUUGAUCCUAGAAUCAUGAAUGUAGAAAAGUCAUUUGAUGCCCACCCUCGCAAAGAAUCACAAGUAAGACAGAUGGCCUGGAUUGGUGAGGGUGUUUGGGUGAGCAUUCGACUAGACUCAACAUUGCGGCUUUACCAUGCACACACUCACCAGCAUCUUCAAGAUGUAGAUAUAGAGCCCUAUGUAUCUAAGAUGCUUGGUGUCUUCCCCGGAGUACCUGUUCCAGGGACGGGCAAGUUGGGCUUCUCUUUUGUAAGAAUAACUGCCCUUCUCAUCUCUUCAAAUCGGCUGUGGAUUGGGACAGGGAAUGGUGUCAUUAUUUCUGUCCCUUUGUCUGAGAAUGCCAAUCCUCGACCAGUAGCAAGCAGUGGAAGUAGUGAGAACAGCACUGGUGGUGGAAGUACCAGUAGAGGGACUAGUGGAAGUAGUGGAGGCAUGAAUGCUGGAAGCAGUACCAGUAGGAUGCCCGGGGGUGUAAUCCGAGUAUAUUCCGACAAUAAGGACCAAGUGAUGCCAGGUUCUUUUGCACCAUAUUGCUCUAUGGCUCAAGCUCAACUUUCCUUCCAUGGGCAUAGGGAUGCUGUGAAAUUCUUUGUGGCUGUACCAGGCUCAGGUGGGUAUAAUGCCCUUACAGCCGCACCAACUGCGUCUUCGGUACGGGCCAUUACGGAUACUGAACACGACGAGGACGUUGAGCCCGAACAGAAGCCAAAGAGUAUGCUGGUAAUAUCUGGUGGAGAAGGAUACAUCGACUUCAGAAUUGCUGACGAGCGUGAGGAGGAUCGAGACACAGCCAGUCACCUACUAGUAUGGCAUAUACCUGUGGAGGACAAUCUUUCUCACCUCCAUGCCCAACCUAAUUCCUCCACUACCACCUCCUCCAACACCUCCACUACCACCAUUACCACCACAACCAACCCCAUCUCGGCAACCAUCAACGGUCAUUCGUAGCAGCCUUGCCAUCACCACUCGGACAGCUACAGCCUCUCAGCCAGCUACGGGUGAGGGGGAGGAGGAUGGAGCCCCUGAGCCGUCUGCAGAGUCACUGAGUCGCGGUGAUCGCUCUCACCUCAUCGUCUGGUCUGUGGCGCGGCCUCCUCUCUGAGGACGAGUCGUGCCUUGGAGGAGUGGACGUCAUCACAUUAAGGGAUUCCUCAUUUCUCAGAGCAAAUGUUCUUUCUUGCUGCUUAGUAUUAGUAUGGGCUAAUAUCCAGUGAGAACAUUUUUUAGAAUUCUAGCCUCAGAGCAGUGAAAAAGAUAUUGUGCUUUUGGGAUCUCUCAUAUGAUCAGACAAGUCACCACAUCACCAUUUUCUCAGGUUUUGGCAGAUGCUGAACAACCAGCUGUAUAAUGUGCACUAACUAAAUAUGGAAACAAAAUCUAAAUCUGAAAUAAUAUAUGUAUAUGUAUAUAUAAAAUAUACUGUAUAUAUAUGAAUAUAUUAUGUA